GGAGUGAUAGGAGUGAUAGGAGUGUUGGAGUGUUGGAGUGAUAGGAGUGUUGGAGUGAUAGGAGUGUUGGAGUGAUAGGAGUGAUAGGAGUGUUGGAGUGAUAGGAGUGUUGGAGUGUUGGAGUGAUAGGAGUGCUGGAGUGAUAGGAGUGUUGGAGUGAUAGGAGUGAUAGGAGUGAUAGGAGUGUUGGAGUGAUAGGAGUGAUAGGAGUGUUGGAGUGAUAGGAGUGAUAGGAGUGUUGGAGUGAUAGGAUGAUAGGAGUGUUGGAGUGAUAGGAGUGAUAGGAGUGAUAGGAGUGUUGGAGUGAUAGGAGUGUUGGAGUGAUAGGAGUGUUGGAUGAUAGGAGUGUUGGAGUGAUAGGAGUGAUAGGAGUGUUGGAGUGAUAGGAGUGAUAGGAGUGAUUGGAGUGUUGGAGUGAUGGGAGUGAUAGGAGUGUUGGAGUGAUAGGAGUGAUAGGAGUGUUGGAGUGAUAGGAGUGAUAUGAGUGAUAGGAUUGAUGUAGUGAUAUGAGUGAUAGGAGUGAUAGGAGUGUUGGAGCGAUAGGAGUGAUAGGAGUGAUGUAGUGGUAGGAGCGAUAGGAGUGAUAGGAGUGCUGGAGUGAUAGGAGUGAUAGGAGUUGUUGGAGUGAUAGGAGUGUUGGAGUGAUAGGAGUGAUAGGAGUGAUGUAGUGAUAGGAGUGUUGGAGCGAUAGGAGUGAUAGGAGUGUUGGAGUGUUGGAGUGAUAGGAGUGUUGGAGUGAUAGGAGUGUUGGAGUGAUAGGAGUGUAGGAGUGAUAGGAGUGAUAGGGGUGUUGGAGUGGUGAAGUGAUAGGAGUGUAGGAGUGAUAGGAG
ensembl:lncRNA